rnacentral:rRNA from 1 species
CGCGGCCUAUCAGCUUGUUGGUGAGGUAAUGGCUCACCAAGGCGAUGACGGGUAGCCGGCCUGAGAGGGUGACCGGCCACACUGGGACUGAGACACGGCCCAGACUCCUACGGGAGGCAGCAGUGGGGAAUAUUGGACAAUGGGCGAAAGCCUGAUCCAGCAACGCCGCGUGAGGGAUGACGGCCUUCGGGUUGUAAACCUCUUUCAGUAGGGACGAAGCGAAAGUGACGGUACCUACAGAAGAAGGACCGGCCAACUACGUGCCAGCAGCCGCGGUAAUACGUAGGGUCCGAGCGUUGUCCGGAAUUAUUGGGCGUAAAGAGCUCGUAGGCGGUUUGUCGCGUCUGCUGUGAAAUCCCGAGGCUCAACCUCGGGCCUGCAGUGGGUACGGGCAGACUAGAGUGCGGUAGGGGAGAUUGGAAUUCCUGGUGUAGCGGUGGAAUGCGCAGAUAUCAGGAGGAACACCGAUGGCGAAGGCAGAUCUCUGGGCCGUAACUGACGCUGAGGAGCGAAAGGGUGGGGAGCAAACAGGCUUAGAUACCCUGGUAGUCCACCCCGUAAACGUUGGGAACUAGUUGUGGGGUCCUUUCCACGGAUUCCGUGACGCAGCUAACGCAUUAAGUUCCCCGCCUGGGGAGUACGGA